CAGAAGAUUAGUAUGACCUCUGCACAAGGAUAAUAUGCAAAUUCGUGAAGCUUUCUAUAUUAAU
rnacentral:snRNA from 1 species